GCACUACUAGGUCUAUGAAAUCUCUGGUUAAAAAAAAAAAAAAAACCACUCCUGGACCUGUCAUAGUAACUCAUGCCAGAGCAAACUGUGUCCCCAAACCAUUGCCUGGCCUCUGUGCCUGUAGGCUGCUGGCACUGAAGUGGCUUGCACAGUG
rnacentral:snoRNA from 1 species